AAAGUUUGAUCCUGGCUCAGGACGAACGCUGGCGGCGUGCUUAACACAUGCAAGUCGAGCGGAAAGGCCCUUCGGGGUACUCGAGCGGCGAACGGGUGAGUAACACGUGAGCAAUCUGCCCCUAGCUUCGGGAUAGCUCCGGGAAACCGGAAUUAAUACCGGAUAUGACGGUGGCCGGCAUCGGCCAUGGUGGAAAGUUU
rnacentral:rRNA from 1 species